GGCUCCCUUCUAAUUAGAAUCAUAAUUUAGUCGCGCCAUAAGCAAAACCAAGGAGAAUUAUUAGAUUAGCUAGAGGGAUGAUGAUUUUGACUUUUGUAUUCUCCACCCCUUUUUUCAGUUCUGCUCAACAACUGCAAUUUCAUAAAGGAAGAAACAAUACUUUCUCUCGUUGUCUUAUUAAAUUAUCAAUUAGGUUAAGGUCAUUACUCAUGAAGUUUCGAGUUUCAACUCUAGUAAAACCUACACCUAACGAAUUCAAGAAAAAAUUAUAUCAAUUAGAUUAGUCUAAUUGACCACCCAUCUCUUCAAAUGGGGAGGUCAUAUCGUUCACUGUUUUUUGUAAUGAUUGAGAUAAGGUUCACAAAAGCAGAGCAGAAGUUCCAAAACUCAAACGCAUAACCAAACCACAAUAACCAUAAUGCAAAAUUAUUACAAGCACAUGUUACAAACCCAUAAUAUUUCUCAAGAAUCAAGAUGAGGAAAUGGGUUCCAGAACAUGAGUGAAAACAGGAAGAGAUUAGGAACUAAAAUAGGAAUAGAAGGGUGAAUAUUAUUGCCAAGUCUUUUCCUUCUCAACCUCUUCCUAAUAUACUCUCUUUUUUGCUCAUCACCCCACUGUGCUUCCUCUACUCCCUUUGCUGGAAUCAGAGGUGGGGGCUGCUGAUAAGGGCACUUGGACCUCCAAGAAGUCUCAGGGAGCCCUAAUCUGGAUACCCUUUUGAGGAAUAGAGAGAAAGCCCACCUCAGAUGGAGAGAAGGAAAGAUCCUGUGGUCUUUGGUGCAGAGAAUUGGUGGGUAGUCCCAGUUGAGAUAGCAAGGGAUUUGUGUGGAGAUGAAGAAUUGAGAGUAGAGAGGAGGUGUUGUAGUGGGGCUGAUUAGGAUGUGGGUUAGGGCUUGUAGUCUCUGCUCCCAUUUUGUGUCCUCCAUCUUCAAGAUAAGAUUUGAAGAUCAGAGAUUGGUUAAUGAACUCUUUGCAAAAUGGCGUUGGAGGUAAAAAGUUCUCGUCUGUUUAGCUUGGCAUGUCAUGCGUUGAUAGUUAAAUCUACAAUUAAAUCCAGUAAAAUGGUUGCUUGAGAGAUGAACUGAAAAUCAAGCAAUUAAUUUUCAUUGGUUCAUAUAGAUUCAAAUUGAGUUCUUCCCCAAUUAUAAUAAAUAACAACCACCAGAAAUCAUUGAAAAUAUGUGACCUUUAGACGUAUUUAAAUAAUUGGGCUUGGGUAAAUUUUCUCGGUUCUUCAUCCAUCUACCAACGAAAAACCAAGUGAAAGCACAUGAGGUUAUGAUGGUGAAUUUUGCCUCAAGUGAUUGAGAAAAAAAAAACUUCCCGAAUAUGUUUCUUUGUUUCAAGCAUUUUUCUGAUGCUUGCGACACUAAAAAAAAUUAAUUAAUAAAAAAUAUUUUUUUAAUUAAAAAUAAAAUAAUAGUUAUAUGUAAAGAAGAAUUAUUUUUUUAAAGAUUUUAUCUGUUUAUAGAAAAUAAUUUAUAUUUAAAAAUAUUUUUUAUAAAAAAUAUUUUUAAAAAAAUAUAUUUUUCAACGAAAUAAUUUAUUUUUUUAUUAUUUAAUUUUAAUUUAAAAAACAAAUAUAUUAAUAAAUUUAUAUAUAUAAAUUUUAGUAAAAAUGUUAAAAUAUAGAAUUUAAUUUAAAAAAAAUCAUUUUUCUUAAAAUGAUUUAAUUUUAUCCCUCGAUAAAUAUUUUCUCAAAAAAUAUUUUUUUACGACAUACAGAGGAAGAAAGUUAUUUUCUAGUUGUUAACACUAUAUUACAUAUAAAUUUAUUAAUAUUUUUAUUUUUUUAAAUUAUAAUAAAAAAAUAAAUAAUUUUUGUAAAAAAUAUUUCUAUAAAAAAAAUUAAUUAAUAAAAAAUAUUUUUUUAAUUAAAAAUAAAAUAAUAGUUAUAUGUAAAGAAGAAUUAUUUUUUUAAAGAUUUUAUCUGUUUAUAUUUAAAAAUAUUUUUUAAAAAUAUAUUUUUCAACGUAAUAAUUUAUUUUUUUUAUUAUUUAAUUUUAAUUUAAGAAACAAAUAUAUUAAUAAAUUUAUAUAUAAAAAUCUUAGUAAAAAUUUUAAAAUAUGAAAUUAAUUUUUUUAAAAAAAUCAUUUUUCUUAAAAUGAUUUAAUUUUAUCCCACCACAAAUAUUUUCUAAAAAAUAUUUUUUUAAGACAUACUGAGGAAGAAAGUUAUUUUCUAGUUGUUAACACUAUAUUACAUAUAAAUUUAUUAAUAUUUUUAUUUUUUAAAAUUAUAAUAAAAAAAUAAAAAAUAAUUUUUGUAAAAAAUAUUUCUAUAAAAAAAAUUUUCCACCGAUAAUAUUUUCUAUAAAUGUUUUUAUAAGCAAAUUAUUCCAGAAUCAAACGCUGUAAAUUAAUCGGAAAUACCUAUCCAAGCCGAAGAGUUAAAUCCAUGAACAAUGGGUUUAAGAGAAUGGAUCUUCUCAACUUGCCAAGUUACCGUUCGAAAAUAGAAGAGGGGAAGAGAGGGUACACUUAAUUUUGUAAUGCUUCGGAGGAUGAGUAAUGAAGGGGAAAAAUGCCAACUAAGAGUCUUAAAGAAUUGGUUAUAGGUAAUUAUUCCAAAGUAGCUUUUUAAAAAAAUGAUAAUCAAUCAUGAUUAUCAUUUUUAUAACAAAGCUAACAAAAUUUUAUUACAGUUAACUCACGAGUGAAGCUACAUUUUUAUUUUUUUUACAUUUCCAUGAAGUAUAACUGCAUAUCUAAAUUUUAUUUAUUGCAUAUAUAAUGAUAUGCAGAUUACUCCUGCUAGAUACUCCUUUAUUAUUCUCUUCAAGUUACAUGCUGAGCUUCCAUAGCUUCCUGCUUGCUUCUUCUGAUGUAGGCCUUUCAGCAUUUGGCGUGAAAACUGAUGCCAAGUAGUGCCGCUGGGAGAACUGUAAUGCAUAAAAAUGAAAGCUCGCAUGUGCCUUGAUCCAUUAUUU
rnacentral:lncRNA from 1 species